UACGUAGGGGGCAAGCGUUGUCCGGAUUUAUUGGGCGUAAAGAGCGUGUAGGCGGCUUUGCAAGUCCGUUGUGAAAACUCGAGGCUCAACCUCGAGACGCCGGUGGAAACUGCAAAGCUAGAGUCCGGAAGAGGAGAGUGGAAUUCCUGGUGUAGCGGUGAAAUGCGCAGAUAUCGGGAGGAACACCGGUGGUGUAGACGGCUUUCUGGACCGUAACUGACGCUGAGACACGAAAGCCUGGGUAGCAAACAGG
rnacentral:rRNA from 1 species